GGAGGGAGCAAGCGUUGUUCGGAAUUACUGGGGGGCGUAAAGGGGCGCGUAGGGCGGGUUACGUAAGUCGAGUGUGAAAUUCCGGGGCUCAACCCCGCGAACUGCACCCGAUACUGCGUGACUAGAGAAAGGUAGGGGCAAGUGGAAUUCCCGGUGUAGCGGUGGAAUGCGUAGAUAUCGGGAAGAACACCCGUGGCGAAGGCGGCUUGCUGGACCUUUUCUGACGCUGUAGCGCGAAAGCGUGGGGAGCAAACAGGAUUAGAUACCCUGGUAGUCCACGCCGUAAACGCUGGGUAUUAGGUGUUGGGAGGAUUGACCCUUUCAGUGCCGACGCUAACGCAUUAAGUACCCCGCCUGGGGAGUACGGUCGCAAGGCUG
rnacentral:rRNA from 1 species